UGGGGAAUAUUGCACAAUGGGCGCAAGCCUGAUGCAGCAACGCCGCGUGAGGGACGACGGCCUUCGGGUUGUAAACCUCUUUUGGCAGGGAAGAAGCGAAAGUGACGGUACCUGCAGAAAAAGCACCGGCUAACUACGUGCCAGCAGCCGCGGUGAUACGUAGGGUGCAAGCGUUGUCCGGAAUUAUUGGGCGUAAAGAGCUCGUAGGCGGUUUGUCGCGUCUGCUGUGAAAACCCGAGGCUCAACCUCGGGCCUGCAGUGGGUACGGGCAAACUAGAGUGCGGUAGGGGAUAUUGGAAUUCCUGGUGUAGCGGUGGAAUGCGCAGAUAUCAGGAGGAACACCGAUGGCGAAGGCAGAUCUCUGGGCCGUAACUGACGCUGAGGAGCGAAAGCAUGGGGAGCGAACA
rnacentral:rRNA from 1 species